rnacentral:rRNA from 1 species
AAAUUGAAGAGUUUAUCAUGGCUCAGAUUGAACGCUGGCGGCAGGCCUAACACAUGCAAGUCGAGCGGAAACGAGUUGUCUGAACCUUCGGGGAACGAUAACGGCGUCGAGCGGCGGACGGGUGAUAAUGCCUAGGAAAUU